GUGUUGAAAACUAACUACUGCAGUAGCAGCAAGCGCAGUGUGACACCUCUAUUCCUCUAACUAACUUGUUUACAAGGCACAAAAUUUAAUAUUCGGCGCAUAUUUAUUUUCGGCUAUUUUCGGCUGGGGUACAUUUUUCAGACCUUAGCCUAGGCUUAGGCCAUAAUAAGGCAUAACAGUUAGCCGCUAGGCCUGAUCGACUCGAGUUUCGUUGCAGUCGCUGCCGAGACGCGAACUGACGGACGUAGCUGCCUUGGAGCACCACGGAGCUUCGGCAACUGACUCCUGCAUCCUGGAGAAGAUAGUCCGAUACGGGUUUACUAUAAUAGUUCAGCCAUGGAUGAGCAAGACUUGCGUUCCAAGUCUGCGUCUUCACCAGAAGAUGACCAUCAACCAGUAAUCAGCGUUGUCACCAAACUCAAGGAUGCGUUUAUUAUCAUCUACACACUUUUCAUGUUCUUUCAUGUCUACGUUCCUAUCAAGAUGCUCCUGCGUGUACCGUCUACAGUUGUUGCUAAUCAUCCCGGAUCACGGCUGUACCUUGUUGGAUCAGUAGCGGCUCUCCUCAUCACACUGCUAAUUGCACCACUAAGCACAUUCUGGUACGUGCUAAUCACGGUGUUAGCUAUUCCAUACAUUCCAAUUGUCAUCCUCCUCCCACUGUUUUUGGCCAUGUAUUUAUAUGACGAGGUUCGCAGCGUGAUGAGGACCUACGAUACAUCACACUGCUUCUGGGUGGCGCACUGUCACUGCAAGCAAUGCAAAGGGGCUGUCGUUGGCAUGGUGCGUGCCGAUCGCUGUGGUAAGGACCAGCACCACGUGAUGGAACUGGACAGCAUGUACGUCAGCCCACGUGUGCGACGCAAACGCCUUGGCUGGAGGCUGCUGGAGAAAGUGACACAGUUUGCCAAGGCUGCUGGCUGCACACAGCUGAAACUGUCUACUUUGGAAAUGCACGACAAAGCAGUACCGAUGUACAGAAGGUAUGGAUAUUCCAUAGCUGCACAGUCUCCACUUCCAACUCCGUGGAUGGCACCAGUAACUGAUGUGAUCGAGAUGGAACGUAAAGUUUGAAUUUAUGAUAACAAAAUUAUCCAUUUCCUUAAUACGAAAUAGAGGUUGCGACUUCGGCGAUGAAGUGUUAAGUGUCAAGUCAAGUCGGCGGAAUAGCGUGAGCUCCAGUGUGGGGCAAACCCAUUCAUCUUCUUUUUUAAAUGAACAGAAAAUUAGACUUGUAACUGUCUCGUAUAGGGGGACUUGCGUGAACGCAUGAGUAGGUUAUUGUAGUCCACUAACUAAUUACGUCACAUCAGUAAUUACUUUGUACCGACCGUGAGCUAUAUUAUUUACAUUGAUAGAUUACGCCACGUUGUGAUUGGUCCCACCUGCUAGCCAUGAUCCCCCAGGAGCUGCGCGUAAGCGCCCGUGAGCCCUCAGGGUCACGGGUGGCGUACCUACCGAUGCAGAAAUCUCAGCCUGACUGGAUCUGGCCUAGGCGAGAUUUUUUUCAUUUUAUUUUAGUUUUAUACUGGAAGUAGCUGAUUUCAAUUUCAAAUUUGUACUUCACGGAGAAUUUCAAAGUAUUAGGGAAUUAGAGGCCACGUGCCUCGUACUGCUCUUUUCUCUCCGAAACUCAGCACUUGCUAUCCAGAUACGAAAGAAAGAAAAAAUCAUCAGUCACACCACCGGGACUCGAAUCAGGGACCUUGCUAUUCGGGAGCAAUGCUCUAACCAACUGAGCUACAGUGUGACUCUUAUCCACAGUGAUGGCAAAUCUAUCCUUCUUCGAUCAAUCAAUAUCUGGCUUGCAUUUUCCUAAUGAUUGCGUGCUGACCUGGUCCUUUGGUCAUAGGCCCCAUCAUGCUGUGCAUCGCGUUCAAAGCAGAGAGUCAUAUGAUGCCGGUAUCUCGUGACUCCCUGGUUCAAAGGUGCCUACGAUGGAGUAGCCUCGAGCAAUGGGUGGACAGUGCACCGAAGACAUCUGAGGCCUCUUGGUCUGGCACAUUAACUCCUCGUCUUCAUGUCGCCAAUCACCCAUCAGUAGUUAGUGAAUGCGAAUAAUAAACAUUGCGUCUAAUUCGGCGCCAUAGCAAAUAUGUAGCCAACUUUUAUUGUGCUCAUUUUGAUGAAGUGAUUGGUAUUUUUCUGCACCAUUUCUGACCAUAUCUGGCAAAGAACUUCUAGCGCUGCAUAUACCAUGAUAUACGCAGGCCUCAGUUAUGACCACUGUCACCACUAGUAUUUACACUAGAGUCUAUCAAGUAUACCUUUGAGCCAAUUUUCAGUGCGCGGAAAGCGCAAGAUUGUGUGA